CGGCGGUGUCUCAGUAGAAGUCAUUUCAGAAAUAAUUAGUCAGAAAAUUCACAGAAUAUCCAGAUUUGAGAACCAAGACCAGACCCGCUUCAGGGGAGGAGACCAAAUAGAAGCUGAGAUGGGAGGAAAAUGCAUGAAUGAGGCCAAAAAUGGCUUUGGCGUGUUUCUUAUGAGGAAAUCACAAUCUAACAUGGUAAAAAGUUCCAAAAGAUAGAUAUUUAAUAAUGGAACCUUUACAAAAACUGUUCUAUUAACCUCUCAACUUCGUCCUCAAUCUUGCAUUUUUUAGCUAUAACACCCUCUUUGGUUCCAGAAUGCUAUCAAGUCUGACAACUGGAAGGAAUUGGACUGACUCUGAUGGAAUGGGCGGGACUGACUCUUGAAUGGGCGGGGCUGACUCUGGUGCAGCUCCGCCUUUGUGGUUCUGCAGCGAGCACCACUUGGAAAACUCUGCCUGCUGUUUAGCAGUGACUCCGCCCCCUAGAGCCCGACUCAGCCUUGCCAGGUACCUCAACGGAGCAGAGACUAAAGAUAGGGGAGAGACUAGAGGGAAAACACUUGGGAUGCACUGAAAGGAGAAUUCUUGGCCGAAAACGAAACACUGAAAGAAUUUAUUAAUGCAAUAAUUACAACCUUUGCAUUAUAAUUACUGUAAAAUGAACCCGUUAAGCACCAAAGUCACAAUAUUGUGUUGAACGACAAACAGCUGCAAAUAUCAUCCCUCGUGAAGAUAUUACUUUACACAUGGCAGCAUUUUAUUAGUGGUUACCUUUAAUAAGUGGUCAGAACAUAAAGGUAUUCAAUAAAAUGUAAUAUUCCAUAAAAAUAUGGAUUAUCAAUAUUAUUGAGCCUUUGAUAUUGGAUAGAUGAUGAAACUAGGUAGUCUGUUAAUCCAGGGAAACAACACUUUAAAAUAAUCUCACACAGAGACAAAAAUGUUGUUUAUAAAAUCUAUUUAUUACUAGAUUAAUGAUGAUGAAAGGCUAAUGAUUAUAAAUGGUGAUUAAACUGAAACAAUAAGUAAACUGAUGAACCAUGACCUUAGAUGUUAACUUAAUUAAGUGUCUUAAAAGUAUGUGAUGUCUGGGUUUCUAACAUUAUCUGGCUGAAUUUGAUUUAGUUAUGAGAUUACGAUGAACCCGUCCAGCGCCAGCUCUGAGUUACAAUACUCGAGUGUAUGGAGUCUUCAAAGCAAGACAGUACUUUUGCAUCUGGAUAUCAAAGGCCACGUUCCUCUGAGUCUGCAUCAGCUGUUUAUUGUUAUUUAUUAGAGAGGAGGACCUUACAACGCUGACCGGUCUAAAGCUCUUUGUCUGCUGAUGGCUGACUCCGACUCUGAGGAGUAAUAUUCACGCUCUGAUGAAGAUAUUCACUCGUCCAGUGAGGAACAAGGUGACGCUGCAGCAGCAGCAAGUCUGUGUGCUUCAUGAGGGUAAACACCAGGGGUCUCAUUUAUAAAGCAUAGCGUAGAAUCCUUACUAAGACCGUACUUAAGCUCAGCAAAAUAAUGUACUUACGCCAAGCAGGUGUGUGAUCUAUCAAACAUGGAGGACGCACAGCUGCACAAUCUCCACUUCAUAAAUCAGAGACUAACGAGAAAUGUUGUCAGGUGUUUCUGGAUCACAUCCUGCCCUCAACACGCCGUGUUCUGUGUGACACGAAGCAGUACAAGUGAUAACGCUGCUGGGAUUCAUAACUGUAUCUUCUCAGCAGCAGCACUGCAGGUGCUCUCCAUGUCCAGCAUGUGUGUAAGCCAGGUCCUUAGUCAACUUAAAGCUGCACACAUUCUUCUGCUACGUUUUCUUUUAUAAAUCCCAAAGUUUGUGUGGAAAGUUGCUUACACAGUUUUCCAACCCGGUUUUGUGUGUGUAAGCAAGCUUGAUAAAUGAAGCCCCAGGUGAUUCAGGUGAUUAGACCAAAAACCAAAUAUGAAACGUUGGAUCUUUUUUGACCAAAAACUUUCAAUGCAUCCGUAGAAAAUACUGAACCCUGCCCUUGGAAACUGUGGUUGGGCUAAGUAAUCCUGAGUAGUGCUCCUGAGAAAACUACCACCCCACUACUUCUAACCCAUACCCUAACCCUAAGUUCUAUUCCUAACCACACUAACCCAAACUAAAAGUUCAUUCACACAUACCUCUAAAACCAAGUAUUACUCCUACUGCACGCUGGCAGCAUCAGCGACACAGAAUGGCAGCAGAACACCACCAACAACACGAGGAUAUAUGAAAGUAACUAGUUUUGAUGACACACAGUAAUAAUUCACAGAGCAUUUAGUGCCAACCACAGCCACCUCACCGGUUUUGUGCUGGAAAUGCCCAAGUCCAUGUCCAUGAGAGCACCAUGUGUGUACACGCGCUUGUAUAUGUAAGGUUUCUCUAUAGGAGCAUCCAAAAGAGAGUGUGAGGGGCCACAGAUCUCAAAGAUGUGUAGGAGAUGGAGAAGUUUCAAGCCCUCGAGAUCCAUGGAUUUCCCUAAAACGCAGGAACCCCAGAGAGACUCUCAACCCCCAUUCCUAGAGGUGCGGAGGAUUACCCGGGGGCCACAACCAGCAGCCGCCAGCGUCCUGGCAGAUAACAGCAGCAAGCCCCCAGGCCCACCAGCAGCCGCCAACCCCCAAGCUGACCGAGCGCGGAACACAGCGGCCUGGGACCCGAGGCCAACCAACCCAACCAGGGACCCAACAGAGCCCAUGAUCAAGUCUCCUCCAGGCAGCCACCAGGAGCAACCCGACAGAUCCCAAAAACGUUGUGGCCAGGACACGGGAGCUGCGGAUAUGCAGGCAGACCGAGGCACUGCCCACUGCCAGAAAAAAGGCCGUGGGCGGGAUGAAGAGAAUGGGAAUUCCUCAGCAAAAGGUUGUGACCAGUCUCGCUUGGAGCCAAUGGACACCAUCUUUGUGAAGAGCGUGAAGGAAAAUGGCCCUGCUCAACAAGCUGGACUGUGUACAGGGGACAGGCUGGUGAAGGUGAAUGGGGAGAGCAUUCUGGGGAAAACCUACUCUCAGGUCAUUGCACUCAUCCAAAACAGUGAAAACACGUUGGAGCUCUCGAUCAUGCCCAAAGACGAAGAUGUGUUGCAGCUGGUAAGUGCUUACUCCCAAGACGCCUACCUGAAAGGAAACAAGCCCUACACGGGUGAGGCGGACAACCUCCCAGAGCCACCGCCUCUCUGUUACCCUCACACAAAGCCCAGCCACAACCCACUGGACAACUGCCCCGCCACUGCUUCCACCGCCGUCUCCAACUCGCCCAGAGCUCUCGAAGACUCCAGCAGCCAUUUUGGUCCAUUGAGGCGGCACCACGGCCGUUCCUCCUCAGCUUUCAGUGCACUUGAGUUUCAUUUUGUGAACCACAACGCUGCCAUCUCCUCUGCAACACUGCCCCUGCCUCAGAAGAGCAGCUUACCAGCCUCCUCCCGCACUCAGGCGGACAUCCUGUGCCACCAGGCUCUAGCAGACUGGUACUACAGCCAGGCGGAGGCUGCAGAGCACAUGUCCCCUCGUCACCACUCCAUAUCUCAGGAUCACUUGGUGGAGUUGGGCCUGGGGUUAGCACUAAGUCCCAGACCUAAGGCUGCCUUCACAACGUCCACAGAGCAGCACAGGGGGGAAGCCCUUCUGCACCACCAUCAGGCAGCUGCUGCAUCCCAUGAGUCCUACUGGCUCGGGGGGCGGGAGGGUGGAUCGGGUCCUGGAAUCAGGUCAUGCUCAGAGAGCCUGCUGGCUGCUUAUGCACAAUAUGAGCACAAUUAUGGACGCUCAGUGGAAACCCUCGCAGAAGCCUCUGCUCUUGUAUCACAGCACUAUGAUCAGGCUUCACAAAGUCCCCACAAGACAAAGUCCAGUGAGCAGAAGGGUUUAGGAGGACAUCAACACCAAGCCACAGGGACUUCAUUGUACACGGUGCCACCCAGUGGCAGGCAGCCAGGCCAGCAGGUGGCGGAGCCCCAAACCAGAUGUAUGAAGGGUGAGGAAAUGGCUGGCUUUAAGAGCUACAGCCCAUCUUUCUCCCGUAAAGCAGGACACCUCCUCCAGCAGGCCCACUCCUUCAGAGAGCCCAGUUACACCCAUGCUGUCCUAGACUGGAACCCUAGCAAGAGAGGGGACUGUGCUGGGCAGGCAGCUCCGCGGCCCCUGUCCACCCCAGCCUCGUGUGCUGCAGAGGAGGACGUGGUGCUUCAAGGUGAAGACAGAAAAAUCAUCUCCCCUAUCUCAUUAAAUCAGGAGGUGGUCCUGAGGCAGAAAAUGCCUGCGGGCUGUUGGACACCCAUCCAGGCUCUGCAACGGUCCAGCUAUACCACACCUGCGGAUCCGCCGGGUUGGACCCCUUCAUCAGGAACCACGGGGACGGGUUCCAGCCGCCGAAUCAACGGCAGCCUGGUGCAGCACGCCUUUGAUUCCCUGUCCUCCAUUCCUUUCAUAGGCAGUAUUAAAAGUCGUCGCUCGUCCUACCUUCUGGCCAUCACCCCUGAGAGAUCCAAGUCCUGUGAUGAAGGUCUCAACACCUUCAGGGACGAAGGCAGAGUCUUUUCCAAACUACCAAAAAGAGUCAAGAGCUUCUUCACUGAUGGGUCUCUGGAGAGCCUGCGAGUUCAGGAGGAGGCCCGGUCCAAACGCCACUCCACCUCAGAGCUGGGAACCACCACCGUCAGUCACGUCCGCAAAGAGGGCUGGCUGCACUACAAGCAGGUCCUCACAGAGAAGGGAAAGAAGGUCGGCGGCAGCAUGCGGCCCUGGAGGCGUGUCUUCACCGUGCUUCGCCACCACUCGCUCUUUCUUCACAAAGACAAGCGGGAGGCGUUGCUUCAUGGUACGGGGGCGGAGCCUAGUCAGGACGAACAGCCACCAAUCAGCAUCCGGGGCUGCCUGAUUGACAUUGCCUACAGUGAAACCAAGCGUAAGCACGCGCUGCGACUGACGACGGAGGACUUCUGUGAGUACCUGCUGCAGGCUGAGGACAGGGACGACAUGCUGGCCUGGAUCAGGGUCAUCAAAGACAACAGCAAGACCGAUAAUGAGGAGAUCGGGUUCUCCAGACAAGCUCUCAUCAACAAGAAGCUGAAUGACUACAGAAAGCAAAGCCUGACUGGCAACAAGUCAGACCCAUCUCCCAGAACACAUCGAAUGGUUCCUCCCUUCCUCCAGGCCAAAACAGAUGACAGCAAGGCAUUGUGGGGCAUCAGCAUCAUGAAGAAGACCAAGAAAACAGGAAGUCCAAAAGCCUUCGGAGUGCGACUGGAGGACUGUCAGCCUGCUGUUAAUCAUAAAUUUGUCCCUCUGAUUGUGGAGAUGUGCUGCGGUGUGGUGGAGGCCACGGGUCUGGAGUACACGGGGAUCUACCGUGUACCAGGGAACAACGCCUUGGUGUCCAACCUGCAGGAGCACCUCAACAAGGGCCUGGACCUCAACACAGCUGAGGAGCGAUGGCAGGACCUCAACGUGAUCAGCAGCUUGCUUAAGUCCUUCUUCAGAAAGCUGCCUGAGCCUCUGUUCACCGAUGACAAGUACAACGACUUCAUUGAGGCUAACAGGGUAGAGGAUGGAGAAGAGCGACUGAAGGCCAUGAAGAAGCUGAUCCAUGACCUCCCAAAUCACUAUUACCACACCCUCAAGUUCCUGGUAGGCCACCUGAAGAGGGUGGCAGACCACUCUGAGAAGAACAAGAUGGAACCAAGGAACAUAGCUCUUGUGUUUGGCCCCACCCUUGUGAGGACAUCAGAGGACAACAUGACUGACAUGGUCACACACAUGCCUGAUCGUUACAAAAUAGUGGAGACGCUGAUCCUCCACUACCACUGGUUCUUCAGCAAUGGAGAGCUUCGCCAGGAGGCAGCGGCACCAGAGGACAAGUGGGACAUGCAGCCUGUCCCCAACAUCGACCACCUGCUGACCAACAUUGGCAGACCGGGUAUGCCUAGAGAGGCGUCAGGUAAGGGCGAGUCCACUAAACAGCUCAUCCAAUCACAGACUGGUGUUCUACAGCUGAUGGACGGUCCCAUUAUUGGUCCGGUGUUUCCAGCCGAAGGCAGCCUCGGUCCCAGUCUGUGGAUUUCUUUAAGAAACCGUUUGUCCUCUUUGGUGGCAGAUACCACUCAUCUCAAACCAUGCUGGCGUCACCAGAUGUGUAGUUCCUGCUCACACAAUCCCGAGUCGUCAUAAAACCACUUUAAAUAUUUAGUUGGUUUUUAUUUUCAAACGCAAGGAUGGCAAGUGUGUUGCCCCCACCACCACCCUAGGACCAUGGGACGAACAACACAUCCUGAAUCCCAGUUCUUCUGCUUGAUGGAGAUGCAUGAAUGAUGUCAUUCUGAUCAGCAGCUCUCUGAGUCCAGGUGACUAGGUCUGACUCGUUACAAGGAUAUUAAUCAUGAAACAAACCUCGGCCUACCGCAUACCCAUGAGAGCGGAGAGUAACCUUCUGCAUCACUUCCUGUGAGCAGCUCCGCCCUGGAGUUUGGGUGGAAGGCUGCUAACACGAACGACGUUGCGUUUCCAACAGGUCUGUCAUCUCAUCAGCAUAUGAACCAUAUCCCCUCCAGUACACUAUCAAGGCCAAAGAGAUGGUCUGCAAUGCCACGGCCAGGAUCGAUUCCAGAUUCAGCGAUCAUCCAGACGCUCCUCUCUUGGAGUAGGCCUAACCUGGGAGGCAGAAGCCCAUUUCUCACAGACCGAAGUACGGAGGCAGUCCAGACAGACUACCAUAAGCGCCUCGUGAUUUUUAUCUUGAGAGGCGCUAUAGAAAUGAUAUUUUCUUCUACUUCUUCAUUCACACCGGCUGUGGUUUGUGUGCUGAACGUCUCCAGACAUCUGCUCCCACAGGAGCACCAAACGGUUAGAACAGUGAUCCCCAGCCCUGGUCCUCAUGGUAAACACCAGCAUGCCCCUGCUGCCACACACCUGGACUCAGAUGAAUGAAUAAUAAUAAUAACAAUACAUUUUAUUUCAAGCGCUUUUCGAAGCUCUUAAGGUCACUGUACAAGCCAAAAUAUAACAAGCAAGCAAUUCAAACAACAAGAAAUAAGUGCUAAGAGUAAUUCCCAAAGGUAGAGUCGGAGCAGUACAAUGGAUAAUAGACUAAAAAGAGUAUAUGGAAGGAGGACAGUUACAGUGAGUAAGCCAGGUGGAACAUGUGAGUUUUGAGUUGAGACUUGAAGGUUGAGAAGGAGUUUAUAUUGCGGAGGUCAGGCGGUAGAGCGUUCCAGAGUUUUGGAGCUGAGUGGCUGAAAGCUCUGGCUCCAUAGUACUAAGACGAGUGCGAGGAACAGACAGGGAAGGUGAAGAUGAUGAUCGGAGAGAGCGAGUGGGAGUGACAAUGUGGAGGAGAUUAGAAAGAUAUGGGGGAGCGAGAUUAUGGAUGGCUUUAAAGGCAUGAAGAAGUAUCUUGUAGUCAAUUCUGUAUUUGACAGGGAGCCAGUGAAGUUGCUGCAGGACAGGGGUGAUGUGAUCAAAAGUGGAGGUCUUGGUGAUUCUCCAGGCAGCUGAAUUUUGGACUAACUGUAACUUGAGUGAUUUUAGAGGGAGACCGGAGAGGAGGGCAUUACAGUAAUCGAUGCGACUAGUGACCAGGCUGUGGACCAAAAUAGCAGCGGAGUGCUGACUGAGGGAGGGGCGGAGCCGAUUGAUACUGCGAAGAUGAAAAUAAGCAGCUUUUAUUGUGUUGAUAAUAUGAGGAAUGAAGGAUAAGGUGUUGUCUAAGAUGGUACCCAAGCUCUUAGCUUUGGCGGUGGGGAGAAGUGUGGUGUUGUCGAAGCUGAGUGAGAAUGAACAUGUCUUGGACAGAGAUGACUUGGUGUCAGUGAGGAGGAUUUCAGUCUUAUUACUGUUGAGCUGUAGAAAGUUAGCAGAAAACCAGGAUUUGACUUCGGUGAGGCAACUGAGAAGGGAGGAUGAAGGGAGCGGGGGUUUUGGUUGGGUAGAGAAGUAGAGCUGGGUGUCAUCGGCGUAGCAGUGAAAAUGAAUAUUAAAUUUCCUGAAGAUAUUGCCAAGUGGGAGUAAGUAGAUUAUGAAGAGAAGGGGACCUAAGACUGAGCCCUGAGGAACUCCAAAGGUAACUGGCUUGGGGUUAGAGUGGAAGGUGCACAGUUGGACAAAUUGAGUGCGAUUAGAUAGAUAAGAUUUGAACCAAUUUAGAGGAGUUUUUGAAAUGCCGAUGGUGGAUAGUCUAUGGAGUAGAACUGUGUGUGAGAUGGUGUCAAAUGCUGCACUGAGAUCGAGUAGGAUGAGGAUGGAAAUCUGGCCUGAGUCUGCUGCAAGAGUGAUUCUCUGCAGCACUGGAUGUCCUCCUGAGGAGGCAAUGUAAAUCAGGUGUGCUGAAGCAGAGACCUGGAGAUGCGUGUGCCCUGAGGACAGGGUUGGGGAUCACUGGGGUAGAAAUGUGACUUAAUAGGUUUAACCCACCCACUUUCUUCAUGGAUGACCCCGCAAGGAAAGUUGACCAUUGAGCAGGAUUGAUGGUUUAUCCCUUGAGGUCCACGUGGCAGGGGUGAGGUGGUGCUCACUCCUCACUGCUGCCACAUGGACCUCAAGGGAUAAACCCUCAUUCCUGCUCAAUGGUCAACUUUCCUCGUAGGGUCACAGCCAUUAGGACAGUAGGAGGGUUAAUGGGAAACCUAUCAAGAGACUGUGAACUGAUAUCCUGCAGGGGUAAUGCAAUGCAGGUUUUAUUUUGAAACAUACCGGAUGUACCCUGCUGAAGCACACCUCACUUCCUGUCUGGCUUGUGUCAUUUCUUUAGCUUCAUGAUGAUCGUCAUGCAGCAUCUAGAAGAAAUGGACUCCAUGUAGAAACUUUCUGGAGCUUCGAACUAAACCAGACCACAGCCGGUGCAUGAACGUGGAAGCCGCAUAGACUAGAAGUCUAGACAGAAGCGUUUGUGUUGCUAUACGCUAACCAGAAGCAUGUCAACGCCACCUACGGUACCGGAGUGCAGCCAGAGUCUGGUUUCCUCACUCACCCGUGACCCAGGAGAAAGGCUAUUGUUGGUUUAGCAUCCAGGAAACAGCAGAGAAUGUCUAUGCUAGUAGGAGCUAACUGUUAGCAUUAGCACCUCCACCGCACAGCACAACUCCUGCAGGCUUGUGUUAUUUGUGGAGAUAAAACAUCAACACUGCAGAGCAGUCGUGUUGCUGUUAGCCAAUCAGAAGAGAUAUAGAAUAUCACAAUAUCAGGAAGUAAGACUCCAGAUCCAACCGUGUUCUGGUCACUUCUAGUUCCUGAAACAGAAGCACCAGAGACCCCUGCAGAUGUGUUGGAGCAUGAGAGAGAUACAGAUGUUCUUGUAACUGAACUGGAGCCCUCAGUGUGGGGUUGCACAUGUAGCUGGUCCACCCUUCCUCCACCGGCCUCUGGGGCAUCCACAGGUUAGGGAAGACAUCUAAUCCCUCCCACGACUUCUGGGUUUUACCGGGGGUCUCCUCCCAGUGGGAAAUGACCAGGAGAGCUUCUGAUGAGGAGCUUCCAUGGAUCCUCCCUGGACAACAACCUGGCCUGUAAAGCUGCUUGUAUCCAGUAUCUUCCAAUGCUUCCCAUCAUGCUCUGCACACAACCAGCCUUUGUUUGCAGUUGGCUCUGAAAGCUCUGACGAGUUCUGGGACAGGAAGUGUCUCAGCCCUCUUUUCCUCGUCUGUCUGUGUUUGUGAACUAACUUCCUGUUGAUACUCACAAAGUUUCCACUUGUUUCUCGCCUUCUCUCCUUUGGCCUCCUCUGCUCUCCGUCUCUAGCAGAGACCCUGGAUCAGCCUCUGCGAGUCCACCACCAGCGGCUCUGUUAAUUCGAAGAAUUCUUCUGGCUCCAGAAAAGACCACUCUGCCCGGGACUUCCUGUCCAGGACCAUCAUCUCUGCUAUGACUCGAAAACGUAAGAAAGGCGUCAGCACCCGCGCUGACGAGGACUCAGACCACGAACCGGUCAAAGCCACCAACUAUGGGGGUGAGGAUGGUGUGGUGGAGGAACAUACAUGUUCU